rnacentral:rRNA from 1 species
ACGCUCGACACCUACGGGAAGCAGCAGUGAGGAAUAUUGGUCAAUGGGCGCAGGCCUGAACCAGCCAAGUAGCGUGAAGGAUGACUGCCCUAUGGGUUGUAAACUUCUUUUAUAUGGGAAUAAAGUUUUCCACGUGUGGAAUUUUGUAUGUACCAUAUGAAUAAAGAUCGGCUAACUCCGUGCCAACAGCCGCGGUAAUCUGAGCGGGCUGGCAAGGC